rnacentral:lncRNA from 1 species
UUACAAAAGAUGAAUAUGAUUUCAAAAAGUAGUAGAUGGCCGGCUAGCUUAUUGACGUUGUCACGCACACGUACUUUUGACAAGUCAAAUAUAUUAGUUUAACAUGCUUCGUGGACAUUGUGCCAUCAACAAGCUCCUUUGUAGCUCGUCCAACGGCGUUGUCAUUUGCACCUCUGAAAUGACAAUAAACCCAUACCAUUGCUCAAUCCAUCGCUAAAUUUGCAUUUUACCAAAUAGCCCUAAGGACUUAACAUCAAGGUUGAUUUUGUAUACUAUCUCAAAUACUUGAAAAGAGAAAGGCCAGGAAAGGACUUAACAAAGGACGGAGAAAAGAGCAGACAGUUAGGUACGAAAAUGCCGAGUGUUGUUCCAGUCCACAACAACUUCAGUUUCAAUCUGUUAUUCCAGUUACCGACUUUUCAAGAUCAAUUUCUCCCAUUCCUGUAUCUUCAUCCUCUUCACUAUCUUCAUCACCACUUCUCUCCUCGUUUUCACGUCCAAGUUUAGCCAUUUGUUCAGCAAGUAAUUUAUCUUCCCGUUCACUCACCUGAAAAGAUUUUUAUCACAUCAGAGCCGCAAGACGAGAAAUAUUAGCCACCAGACAACAACAAAGAACAGUAGUGAAAUUGUAGGGUUAUUUUUAUAUGCCGGAACUAUACAGACAAGAGGGGUUGCUCUGAUGGUAAGCAGUCUCCACUUCCAAUCGAGAGGUUGUGAGUUCGAGUCUCCCCAAGAGCAAGGUG